rnacentral:pre_miRNA from 1 species
GGAGGGAACCCUCUCUGGAGACGUGCUGGCCUGUUGGGAUCUCUGGAGCUGGCUUCCUUCUGC